CUUUCACGUCUGUCACAUGUGCUCAGUGUGAACCUGCUAUCACCUAUGAAGAGCACAGAGAACCAGUGGCAAAUUGGCGAAUCUUUGUGUUCUCUGGCAAAUGCCAAAUGUCCUGCACAGUGUUGGGCUGCAAACACAACCCCCGCCUGUGGGUGUCGAGCAGGCCCGGAGUGGCUAAUCGGGAGGGUCUGGAGAAUUCCCGGUGGGCCGCGCGAUGUUUGGGCCGCAUGGGCCGGUGCUCUCGUUUUUGUUUUUUAUCAUUUUUAUUUUUUUGUGCCGGUGUUCAGUCAUGGCACUGAGGCCGCCGGGCUGAUCUCAUACGCUCCUCCCGGCUGUCUCUGGCUGGCUCUACCUGCAGGCUGCCGCUCGUUAUUUUUUUCCCUGUAUGCGCCUGUGCGCACCACGUGACCAUGCAGUUGACGGAAAGAUGGAAAGUAGAAAGAGCAAGGGUGGCGCGGAGAAGGCAAGAAUUAAAAAGAGGAAAGCGCUGGAAACAGAUGCAGCUAAAUGUGCCAAAAUGAGCACCUUUUUUCUCAAACAAGCUUGCGGUCUUUAACUUCAAAUGAAGAUAAAACGGGUAAGGCAAGUCAAGAUGUUAAACUUUACCAGCUGCAAAUCACCAUUCAAGUUAAUUAAGCAUCAAUAAUGAAUUAUAUGGCAUCAUGACAUAACGUUAUGUAAUAUAAUUAACAGUAUGAUGUGACUGAUGCCACCAAACUGUCUUGUAGCCCCUCAGAGUCAAACACAAGAUCCAGUAGGCCUAAUAAGCACCAGGCAGAAGCCCACAGUUCCAGAGCGGGCAUGUACAGUGUCAGAAGAAGAGCCAGGAGCCAGCAGUGAGGGUAUUGCUCCUGUUGGGAUAGAAGGUGAGCCAACUCAUGUGCAAACAUCAGUUUCAUUAUAAUAAUUUUAAUGUCCAAAUAAUAGUAGUGACCUGUUGUAUUUUUAUUAGUAAAUGCACAAAGCCCACAACAGAUCGCUAUUAGAAUGAAAGUAAAAUGAAAUAAGCCUGCAUAUUUUGCCAUAGAAAAUAUUUUACUUGGUUACAAAAAUGUGUUUUCCAUAUCAAAUGUGCUAAAGCUUUACAGAUGAUUAUUUUAAUUGUGUGCAGGUGAGUCUAGGGAAACUGGAAAAAGUGUGAAAGGGAGUGCUGAGUCAUUUCAUUUUAAAGGUUUGAAAAUCUCAGAACAGCUGUUUGAACAGAAGGUAGAUUGUUAUAUUGUUAGAGAAUGUGUUGUAAAGAACAAUGUUGGAGAUGUGCACUGAUGUUCAAAUAAACCUACAUUGUAAAGCAA